AUCAAUACACUGAUUUGUCCUACUGUAAACAUGGUAAAAUGCCUGUUUCUGAUUUUAAUUCUGACCCCAGGUGUGAUGACUGCAGACCAGAUAAGGCCAAAUCAAGAAACUAGUGUCAUAAAGGAAGAUGAGACUGUGGCCCUCAGCUGCUCAUAUGAUACAAGUAGCAGAUAUGUUACACUUUAUUGGUACAGACAGUAUCCUAAUGGAGAACCUCAGUAUUUAAUGUGGAAAGAGGCUCGGGGUUGGAGUAGCACUGGAACCCCUGCUGAUCGUCGCUUUCAGUCGACUACAUCAGAAACAUCCACUAAACUCACUAUUACUGGAGUAACUCUGUCAGAUUCAGCUCUCUAUUAUUGUGCUCUAAGAGUUGGAGCCCAGUGA